rnacentral:rRNA from 1 species
UACGUAGGGUGCGAGCGUUAAUCGGAAUUACUGGGCGUAAAGUGUGCGCAGGCGGCGUCGCAAGUCGAGUGUGAAAGCCCCGAGCUUAACUUGGGAAUUGCGCUCGAAACUACGGUGCUCGAGUAUGGCAGAGGAAGGUGGAAUUCCACGUGUAGCGGUGAAAUGCGUAGAGAUGUGGAGGAACACCGAUGGCGAAGGCAGCCUUCUGGGCCAAUACUGACGCUCAUGCACGAAAGCGUGGGGAGCAAACAGG